CAAAAAUGGAACAAAAGUAAAGACAUGUUGCAAACACAACACAGCUCUGCUACAACUUAGAUACUUUUCCACUAGCCAGUGCAGAAUUGCAAGGAAAGCCGCCAUAUUGCAGGAUGAGGUCCAGUAGUGAUUGGAUGCCCCUGUUGACAUUAUAAUUUGCAAUGGAGUUGGUCGUCUGGAGUGUCUGGUCGACUAGGAGGGAUACGGCCCGGAGGAGCCCUCGUGGUUGAAGGCGGGGGAUGUCCUGCACCCAUUGCUCACAGCCGACUUUCACCAGCAACCUACAUCUCCCAGA